rnacentral:lncRNA from 1 species
AAUAUGAAGUGACCUGGGCGGGAUGCAGAGGGCCUCAGGGGAGAUUUCCAACCUCUUGCAUCCCCUCCUCUAGGGCUCAUGGGACCUCUGGUUCUGAAUGCAUAUUCCCCUAAAAUCAAAGAACUUGAAGACUGAAAAAGACCAUGGUUAUUGUCAACUUAAGUGGUCUCCAAGAUGGGCUAUAAGACACCAGAUUGAAGUGUAAGAAGAAAAUAUGAGAACAUUUAAGAGUAUUUCUUUUUGAGCUUGAAAUUUAAAAAGAUAUUCAGCUUUACUAAUAUUCAUGGUGGUGCUCUUGCUCAGGGAAAGAGCAGCAGUGAUGAUCUGCUUCCACUUGGAUGUAGAUAUAUUGGUUCCCCAGGGUGACAUCCUCAUGAUAAAAUCGGUACAGGAUCGGGGGAGAGCCUCUCAGGGACUCACAGUGAAGCUCCAGCAGGUCCCCCACCACAGUGUGGGCCCUGGGAGCCCUGAAGGAGACCUUAGUGGCUGACAGAGAACCUAAACCCUGGCUUGCAACUCGAGGCUGUGUGAAAGGAAUCGGAACUUACUUCUCACGGUGACUCGAAUCCACGUGCUGAGGAUGGGGCUGUGAACGUUAUCAGCUGCACAGUAGUAUCUCCCUGCAUCACUCUCCUUCACGGUGAGAACAUGCAGCUCUGCCAACAGGGAACGCUGGGUCUUUCUACCCAGGCUUCUUACUCUUCCUUCUUUGUGCCAGGAGAAUGUGACAGUCCCUGAACCCUGGGCUACUGAGCAAAUAAGGACCAUAUUUUCUCCUUCAAUCAGCUGCCCUCCGGUGGGCCGGAUCUCUAGAUUCACAUUAGACACAGGGACUCCUGGGGGAACACAAGAUGGCAUGUGAAGGUCCUGAUGGCAGGGACAUCAAGGUCAAGGGGAAGGCUGGAGCUACCAUGAAUAGGCCAAUAGCAGCAGGUGCAGCAGGCAGAAGCCCAAAGUAGGAAAUAAGAA